ACGCUCGACACCUACUGGAGGCAGCAGUCGGGAAUAUUGCGCAAUGGAGGAAACUCUGACGCAGUGACGCCGCGUAUAGGAAGAAGGUCUUCGGAUUGUAAACUAUUGUCGUUAGGGAAGAAAAAGAACAGUACCUAAGGAGGAAGCUCCGGCUAACUACGUGCCUGCAGCCGCGGUAAUCUGAGCGGGCUGGCAAGGC
rnacentral:rRNA from 1 species